rnacentral:snRNA from 1 species
AGCUUUGCGCAGUGGCAGUAUCGUAGCCAAUGAGGUUUAUCCGAGGCGCAAUUAUUGCUAAUUGAAAACAUAACAGUAGUGGUUUUCAAUUUUUUUGUUUUUUUUGAGAACUUUUCUCAAUAACUCUUAUUU